ACCCGCUGAACUUAAGCAUAUCAAUAAGCGGAGGGA
rnacentral:rRNA from 1 species